GACGAACGCUGGCGGCGUGCCUAAUACAUGCAAGUAGAACGCAGUUGCGAACGGGUGAGUAACGCGUAGGUAACUGCCUCAUAGCGGGGGAUAACUAUUGGGAACGAUAGCUAAUACCGCAUACUGUGAGAUGGACCUGCGUUGUAUUAGCUAGUUGGGGAGGUAAAGGCUCACCAAGGCGACGAUCCAUAGCCGGCCUGGGAGGGUGGUCGGCCACACUGGGAAUGAGACACUGCUCAGAAUCCUACGGGAGGGAGCAGGAGGGAAUUUUUGGAAAAGGACGGCAGUCUGACCGAGCCAAGCCGGGGUAGUGGAGAAAGGUUUCCGGUCGGAAAGCUCUGUUGUUAGAGGAGCGGUAACUAACCAGAAAGGGCCGGCUAACUACGUGCCAGCAGCCGCGGUAAUAC
rnacentral:rRNA from 1 species